rnacentral:rRNA from 1 species
GAUGAACGCUGGCGGCGUGCCUAAUACAUGCAAGUCGAGCGAACAGACGAGGAGCUUGCUCCUCUGACGUUAGCGGCGGACGGGUGAGUAACACGUGGAUAACCUACCUAUAAGACUGGGAUAACUUCGGGAAACCGGAGCUAAUACCGGAUAAUAUAUUGAACCGCAUGGUUCAAUAGUGAAAGACGGCUUUGCUGUCACUUAUAGAUGUAUCCGCGCCGCAUUAUCUAGUUGGUAAGGUAACGGCUAACCAAGGCAACAAUGCGUAGCCGACCUGAGAGGGGGUGAGCCAACACUGGACGGGAGACACGUUCCAGACUCCUAGGGGAGGCAGCGGGAGGAAUAUUGCAGCAAUGGGCGAAAGCCUGACGAGGCAUAGCCGGGUGAGUGAGGAAGCUCUUCGGAUCGUAAAACCCUGUGUUUAGGAAAAAACAAAUGUGUAAGUAACUAUGCUCGUCUUGACGGUACCUAAUAAGAAAGCCAGGCCUAAUUACUU